UACAUGUGUCCCUCAAAGAUCUUAUUACUGGCCUUAUAACUUUGUGGACUACAACUGUACAUGUCCAUGGGAUAGAUACGGGAAGAGAUGUGAAUAUUACGGGUGGCCAACUACCGAAAGCCCCACAACAGAAUCGGUAACACCAACCGUCCCAGUUCGUUUAGUUGGAGGCUACAGCAACAGAGAGGGACGUGUGGAGGU